UUCUCUGCGGCCAGAUCCCCCUCACUGCCUGCCGCAUCAUCAACCCACUCUGCUGACAGCCACGCAAGACACGGUCAUUAACUCAGCAGCUCGGCAGGCGAUCCGCCCUCGCAGGGAUGCAGAGCACUCAGAACAGCAGGAGUGGGGAAGCUCUGGAAUAUUCCAGCACAGCUCCCCCACCCUGCCCAGACCACCCCAGUUCCUCUGGGGGAGGGGGGUCACUGUCUUCAAGAAUCCUCACUAUGGCUGUUUUGCAAGACCUGGAGCUGCUUCUACAGGAAAUGAGAAUUAGGAAAGAGAGACGCCAGAGUGUCAUGUGACUAAGGGCAUCCUGAUCAGCCUCGGGGCUGAGUGCCCACUGUCCUGCCCACCUCCUGUGACUACUCAGCCCCGCAGUUCAGCUCUACCCACGUCCACUGUCCUCUGACCUCCAACGGGAAACGGCCCUCCAUCCCUGAGGCGGCCGGCAGCUCGCCUGCAGUCCCACGGCUCUCUUUGCCCACGUGUGCGCCCCGGCCUCAGCUGUCACAGCCCUGGACCCCCGUGCUGCUCAAAGCACACCCCACGCCCCCCUGCCAGGCCUGCACAGGGUCCGUGUGCUAGCGAUCGGGUUCUGCUGGGGGCUGGGCUGCGCUACAACGCCCUAAGAGAAGGGGUCUCCCGGCAGCACCCAAGUACGGACAGGGAACAGGGCGGCUGCUCUGGGUGGGCAGGGAAGACAGGCAUUGCCCCCCUGGGCCAACCACGUGAUGCUACCACAUGGCCCGGGGCCCCACGCCUGCCUCCUUUCUUCUUGAGAAACUCCAGCAUUUAUUCUGUUCCUCGGUGUCACUCUUCCACACAGCUGUGUGAGCAGAACGGGCUGGUUCUAGCUCAGAAGUUCCACACAGGUGUGCCCCGGGGAUGACCAAGCCCAUGAGCCACAAAGCCGACGGCCCCCGGGUCACGUAAGCCCCCUGCGCACAGACACACUCUCCCUUCCAGAGAGCACAGUGCUACCCCAGAGCCAGGGCCCCACUCACAGGACAGCACGCGUGCACACACACACACACACACACACACACACACACGCCCACAUACUCAUCACACACACACGUACGCAGACACGGCGGGGGGAAAAGAUCAGAAAAUGCGACCAAUUAAGUUCUUGCUUUCUCCAUGAGAAGCAAAAAGGAACAACAGAAACCUUAGUCCCAAACCAAGAAAGAGAGUUAGGAAAUCUAGAAAUUAAGCAAUUCUGGACCUUCUUGGGGAAACAGCAAAAGCCACACCUAGGUUGCAGGACUGGCACAUUCCCGACCAGCCCCGACCAGCCCGAGGACUUCCAGAGGCUGGGGCAACAGGAAUCAUUACAACUGGCAGGAAGUGAAGCAAGCAGAGCUACGUGUCCUGGAGCACAAGGAACAUUCUAGAACACACUUGGACGUGUUCCAAACCCAACACACCACCUCCAAGGAUGUGAAUGUCCACAUGUCAGCGGUGUUGUACUGUCUGCCAACAUGGGCAUCACCAGGAAAAACAUUAAGGCAAAAACCAUGUCUUUUAAAGGGGACAGGGUGACAUUCUUACCAAAUGCAGUUCUGCUGCAGAAGGCCCUUCUAUCCUAGGAGUGCUAAGGGAAAAAUGUCAAGAUCUUCCUCUGAAGAAGGCCACCUCGAGGCUCCAGGGGUUCUUGAAAGUGAAAAGCUGGAAAUAAACGACUCCCUGCCACCCCCACACUGUCAUGGAGAUCCCAACAUGGGAUUUAAGUGGGUUUUAGGCAAAAGCCCAAGUCAGAUUCUCAAGGCUACUGGAGGUGACCUUUCAAGGCCGCACCUCUCCACUGUGACCCUCCAGUGAUGCCCCCACCCCAGCACAGAGAUCCCACCUGUCCAUGGCAAGGAAGGCUCCUCCCCUGGAGCCCUCAGAUGUCAUGCGGCUCCACCAACUCCCUGACUUCAGCUCCUGGCCCCCAGCGCGGCGAGAGAACCUCUGUGGUUUUAAUCCCUCCAGUCUGCAGCACUUGGGAGACUGGCCCCAGGACACUCACGCCACCCCAAGGCUCGCAGAUCUGCUGUAACUUCACCACGAUAUCUCAGAAGCAGGUGGCGCGGCUGCCUGGGGGAUUCUGGGACCUCCGCUCCCCACAGUGGGCGCUGCUGAUCCAACAUGCGGACAUACACGCAGCCGGCUCGCUCGGACUGUACCGCCCGGCCCGGGAGAACAUUAGGUUUCCAAUUUCCGAGAGGAGGCAGUCCCACCAGUGUCUGGUGUGGGAGGCAACAGGGGCCGGGCUGCACUUCAUCUCACCCCGCCUUACCCUUCCUUGCUCUUUCCCGGCCCCAGAAUCUAAGGCCAGAGCAGCAGGAAGGCCCAGCCGUGCACAGGGAGGCGCCCCUGAUGCAUCACCGGCCUGUCUGGCCUUGAUUUGGCAGCCCUCUCUCCACGGACAGGGCCACGAAGACCAUACCCUUACUCCCUCCUUGCUCUGCAAACAUGGGGUCAUCCCACCUGAUGUUCUACCUCCUCCGUCACUGGUCACUAGAAUAUACUUUGGACUCGGCCUGAAAACAAAAUUUAAAAACAGGGUCAAGGUUCUGCUCCUCUGUUUCAUCUGACAUUUUUCUCUGCCCAGGGAGGGCGGCUGCUCAUGGGCUACCUGCCUGAGACGGCAAGCGGUGCGUUUUGGGGACCCGGCAAGAAGCAGUUUGGGAACCAGGGUCCUGAAGCCCAGCCUUGCAGGCCUCCAGCCAGCACACGUCUGUACCACACCCACGGUGCAGAGGCGGGAGCACCCCAGGAACGGGCCCCCCACCACCACUGGCAGAGCUCCGUCCGGGCAGUGCCCCGGGAGCAAGGCCCCAGCUGACUGCCAGGAGUACUGUUCUCACUGUGCACACGAGGCUUGGAAAGCCUCAGUCGGCAGUGCCCCGUCCCUGAGCCGGAACUCCAAGACAAAGGGACAGCAAGCCAGUCCCCACAGGGGCUUCUCCGGUCUCUCCGAAUCUGUGGGGCCCAGCCAGGGCCCACCUCCUGCUGCCCUUGCUAAGUUCUCUUCCCACACUCAGCUGCGUGCACAAGCAUGCCUUAGCCUAGCUCCACCGGAUCGACCAAACUGAGAACAUACCCGCCACUGAGCACAACUCUGGGCGUUCCAGGAUGAUUCCCUUCAGGACCCCUGCUGGAACGUGCAAGUGCGGGCCUCCAAGCCUAUUCCAGGCUCCGUCCAACCCAGCCCGUCCUGUGCUAAGGCUGGUCCGAGGUCAUUCGGCAGCCAUCCCCACCCCUCUCACUGCCUGGCUCUGCUCCAGCGGUGCACAGAUGGGGGUGAGGGGGGUGGGGAGCAAAACGUCCGCAUGGGACCCUGUGGAGCACCCUGCAGUACUAACUGUUUGAUCCUCCCAGAGCUAAGCAACCGGGGCCAAAACAAGCAUUUGCAGGCUGGUAAGAAAUCUAGACUCUGCUCAAGGAAGCACUAAGUGUGUCCAGUGAACUAAGAAAUUUCUGGAAAUUGUUCUCAUUGUGGGCUGAAUUGUGUUCCCCAAAUUCCUAUGUUGAAACCCUGGCCCCCAGGACCUCAGAAUGUGACUGUAUUUGAAGACAGAAUCUUUAAAGAGAUAAUUAAGGUAGAAUAAGGUCACCAGGUGCUCUGAUGCAAUCUGACCGGUGUCCCUGAGAUCAGGUCACAGACACGCACAGGGGAACCAAGUGAACACAGCAUCCACACGCCACGCAGACACCGCCGUGCUGACACCUUUAUCUUGGACUCCAGUCUCCAGAACUGAGGGACCGCAAACACCUGCUGUUUGAGCUGCCCAGCCUGCGGUACUUUGGUACAGCCGCCCGAACACACUGACACUGCCCUGUUUGGGGUCCAGCUUGGGGGGCGCAUGUCUGGAGGACCACCACCCCUGGCCUUCUGCCCUCCUCAGCCCUCUCCAUCCCCCGACACUAUAUCUUAUUCCGGUAAUUAGGAGAAAGAGGGGGAAAUUAGGGCAAAAAACACACACAGGUAAGUAACUGAAAACCCAACCCACAUCCCCUCCUGGCAGAGGCCCCAGCCUCCACGAGAUGCCCCAGGCACACUUACGUGCCACCCAGCCCUAUCUUCCUGUCUGGUCCUCCUGCACGGUGGUGGGUGAGCACGGCGCCCGGGGAAUGCCGACCCACCUCAUUCAGUAGCCAGCAACUCCAAGAGAUGUUCACACACCCCAUCUCCCCUGGCCCUAAAACAACUUGGGAGUCGGCGUCAUGCCCAUUCUACAGAUGAAGCCUGGAAGGAACAAGGGUGCAUCCCUGGAGGACCCAGAGCCAACACCUGCAGGGAGGCCUUCUCUGCCCCAUCCGCCUCUUUGGCGACCACCUCCCAGAAGAGUCCUCCGCAAGGUGGGACCCACCCUGGCCCCCGGGAGCCAGAGUCCGCGAGCUUGCUCCUCCCCCUCGCGGCAGGUUCUGUCCAUGGGCUGCACACUCCAGCGACGCGUCUGGACCUGACGGGCUAAUGCAGGACUUACUGACUGCUGAGUCCUAGGCAGAUCCACGGCCUAGAGACUGAGGUUAGGGGGUGAUCUGUAUUUGAGGCAGAACCCGGGAGACAAUGCCUGUUGGGGUUACCCACGGUGCCUGGCGCAGCACCUGCCCGGUGAGAACCAGCACCCCCCUGGGGUGUUUCUCCAGACACAUGGGACGGGCUGCAGAAAACCAGCCACCCUCAGUUCUGAGCUCGCAGACUCAGAGAAAAGCAGGAGCCCUGUGCUCAUGUGGUUUUCCGACUGGAUUCGGUUCAGUUCAGCAGGUAUUUGCUAAGGCCCGCUCUGGGCCAAGGGCCCCUGCUAAAGGCUGCAGGUCUUUGGACCCGCGCUUCUGCCCCCUGCGUGCGUCAAAUCCCCUGGCCCCGGUGAGCCCUCAGGGCUGAUUCGGUGGGUCUGGGUGGGGCCCGAGUUCUGUGUGGUGCCCUGUGUUGUCCGGGGUCCAUGCUGCGAGGGGCAAACCCACAGCCCCGUGGCUCCCUCAUGGCUCCCUGACUUCUGAAGCCUGAUUUCCUUGCCGGGGAACAGGGACUCACAGGAGGAUUUCCCUUCCGGAAGCCGUGAGGACUAGACACAGCGACAGCCCUUUGAUCAAUCUCCAGAGACGCUGAACGGUUGUUGUUGCUGAUUCUGACCAGCGUUAUCAGAGGUCUCUACUGGGGAGCGGGGUCCCUGAGCAAUUCACACUCCCUUUCCAGAAGUCCUGCCUCCUUACUGUUCGUAGAAUUCACUGAACAGGUACCUGCCGCAGGGCCUUUGUAUGGGCUGCCCCUUCUGCAAUUAUCUUCUCCAGACACCCAUAUAGCUUCACUUUUCAAUCUCUUUGGGCCUCUCUUCAAAUGCUACCUUCUUGUAAACAGUCUUUGCCAGAGUCGGGUAAAUGAAGGAAGAAACAUAUACAAAUGAAACCAUGGAUUCCGUUUAAUGUUCUUUCCAACACUUAGUACGAGCAGCACCGCUUCCAGAUUGUACUAAGUUCGGUAGAAACUUAGAAGGAUCACACAGUGUGAAGUCUGGUACCAGAUUGUACAAGAUUGGCCAGACGUAUGGGGGGCAUUAUUCCUCACGAGACAGCACCAGCCCCGGGCUGCUCCCUGCUCUCCUCCCGGGAGCUCUGGCUUCACCUGUCCUCCCCUUCAGUCCGCUCCGGCAGGGCCCGGAUCCGGCGGACUGUCGCCCCUGCAGCACAGAGCACAGAGCAGUGCCUGACACACGGCGGGUGCUCAGCAAGCACGGCUGAUGGAGGGGUGGGUGUGGAAUGGACGGUGUAUCCUGUCAGGAUGUGGAGGGGGACAGCUCCUUUGCAACCUGCCUGCUAAGGAGGGUGGCUCCUGCCACGGCAAGUUUUCUGCUGCACACACGUGAGCUCGAGUGGAAACACGGGGACAGAGCUGAGCCCAUCACGGAGUGUGGAAGAGUGGCUGCCCCCGGGGAGCUCAGAGUCCGGACAUGGAAACGGGGAGAAAGCCUGUGACGGACCACUCUGAAAACUGAUGUGCGCAGGGGCGCCUGGGUGCCUCAGUCAGUUAAACAUCUGCCUUCAGCUCAAG